rnacentral:rRNA from 1 species
CCUAUCAACUUUUGAUGGUACUUUCUGCGCCUACCAUGGUGACCACAGGUAACGGGGAAUCAGAAUUCAAUUCCA